GCCGGGUGUAGUGGCACGUGCCUGUAGUCCCAGCUACUGGGGAGGCUGAGGCUGGAGGAUCGCUUGAGUCCAGGAGUUCUGGGCUGUUAGCAUGCUAUGCCGAUCGGGUGUCUGAACUAAGUUCGGCAUCAAUAUGGUGACCUCUGGGUGCAAGGGACCACCAGGUUGCCUAAGGAGGGGUGAACCAGCCCAGGUUAGAAAUGGAGCAGGUCAAAACUCCCGUGCUCAUCAGUAGUGGGAUCGCUUGUGUGAAUAGCCACUGCACUCCAGCCUGGGCAACAUAGGGAGACCCCGUUUCU
rnacentral:SRP_RNA from 1 species